CCGAGUUUACAACUCCCAAACCCCAAUGUGAACCCAUACCAAACUGUUGCCCGUCCGGCGGGGUCACGCCCCGGGUGCGUCGCAGCCCCCGGAACCAGGCGCCCGCCGGAGGGACCAACCAAACUCUUUCUGGUAGUCCCCUCGCGGACGUUAUUUCUUACAGCUCUGAGCAAAAAUUCAAAAUGAAUCA
rnacentral:misc_RNA from 1 species